rnacentral:rRNA from 1 species
GGAAUAUUGGACAAUGGGCGAAAGCCUGAUCCAGCAAUGCCGCGUGUGUGAAGAAGGUCUUCGGAUUGUAAAGCACUUUCGACGGGGACGAUGAUGACGGUACCCGUAGAAGAAGCCCCGGCUAACUUCGUGCCAGCAGCCGCGGUAAUACGAAGGGGGCUAGCGUUGCUCGGAAUGACUGGGCGUAAAGGGCGCGUAGGCGGAACAUACAGUCAGAUGUGAAAUUCCCGGGCUCAACCUGGGGGCUGCAUUUGAUACGUGUGAUCUAGAGUGAGGAAGAGGGUCGUGGAAUUCCCAGUGUAGAGGUGAAAUUCGUAGAUAUUGGGAAGAACACCGGUGGCGAAGGCGGCGACCUGGUCCUUUACUGACGCUGAGGCGCGAAAGCGUGGGGAGCAAA